CGGCCUCUCUAUAUAAAUAACAAGAUGAGAGUUAAAUGACAGGGUAAUAAAUUUAGGUAAAGAUAUUUUAUAGUAAAUGAUGAACAAGACACACUUUGGGCUUUUCUUCAUUUUGUUUAUUCUCCUUGCUUCUCAGUUGGCGGUACAAAUUGAGGGAAGGCGCCAUGAGUCAAGGAGUAAUCGGUUUAAAGGAGUGUGUUUGAGCAAUCACAGUUGCACUUCGGUUUGUCGUGAUGAAGGCUUUGAAUGCGGCGAAUGCAAGAGAUUUCGUAAAGGUUGCUUCUGCUACAACCAUUGUUAACUUAUAUUGCAAUAAUGUGAAUGGUCAAUAUUCCACUGAUAAAUGACGAUAUUGUUAAAUUGAACAUCUUUAUCAGGAUGUAAACUCAAAAGCUUGCAAUUGUGUAUGUUAAUUUAUCAAUCGAAUUAAUUUUAUAGAUUAAUAUGGAAUUUUAUAGACAUGUAUAAUCUGUUGGAUAAUAACUUUCAAUUUAACAAUAAAUUUUAUAAUA